rnacentral:rRNA from 1 species
CGGACGGGUGAGUAAUGCAUAGGAAUCUACCCAGUAGCGGGGGACAACCUGGUGAAAACCAGGCUAAUACCGCAUACGCCCUACGGGGGAAAGCAGGGGAUCUUCGGACCUUGCACUAUUGGAUGAGCCUAUGUCAGAUUAGCUAGUUGGUAGGGUAAUGGCCUACCAAGGCGACGAUCUGUAGCUGGUUUGAGAGGAUGAUCAGCCACACUGGGACUGAGACACGACCCAG